rnacentral:misc_RNA from 1 species
UCUCCGUUGGUGAACCAGCGGAGGGAUCACUACCGAGUUUACAACUCCCAAACCCAAUGUGAACCAUACCAAACUGUUGCCUCGGCGGGGUCACGCCCCGGGUGCGUCGCAGCCCCGGAACCAGGCGCCCGCCGGAGGGACCAACCAAACUCUUUCUGUAGUCCCCUCGCGUACGUUAUUUUUACAGCUCUGAGCAAAAAUUCAAAGUGAAUCAAAACUUUCAACAACGGAUCUCUUGGUUCUG